rnacentral:rRNA from 1 species
AACGAACGCUGGCGGCAUGCCUAACACAUGCAAGUCGAACGAGACCUUCGGGUCUAGUGGCGCACGGGUGCGUAACGCGUGGGAACCUGCCCUUAGGUUCGGAAUAACUCCCCGAAAGGGGUGCUAAUACCGGAUAAUGUCUUCGGACCAAAGAUUUAUCGCCUUUGGAUGGGCCCGCGUUGGAUUAGCUAGUUGGUAGGGUAAAAGCCUACCAAGGCGACGAUCCAUAGCUGGUCUGAGAGGAUGAUCAGCCACACUGGGACUGAGACACGGCCCAGACUCCUACGGGAGGCAGCAGUGGGGAAUAUUGGACAAUGGGCGAAAGCCUGAUCCAGCAAUGCCGGGUGAGUGAUGAAGGCCUUAGGGUUGUAAAGCUCUUUUACACGGGAUGAUAAUGACAGUACCGGGAGAAUAAGCUCCGGCUAACUCCGUG